rnacentral:lncRNA from 1 species
CUCCAAGGUUCUGGGCUCUGUCCCUGUCUCCCCAGCCUGGCUGUGCUAUCUGCCACCCCCAGCAGUGUCUGGGCCCUGCUUCCAGGUCAUCUCUGCCAGCCAGGCAUGGUGCCAGCUGUCUGCUCAGCUGGGUGCCACGGGAAAAUCUCCGGCAGCCCAGCAUCACAGGACAUGGCCCCCUCAGCCACCUAGCUGGGGCCCAUCUAGGAGUGGCAUCUUUUUUGGUGCCCUGAAGGCCAGCUCUGGACCUUCCCAGGAAAAGUGCCAGCUCACAGAACUGCUUGACCAAAGGACCGGCUCUUGAGACAUCCCCCAACCCACCUGGCCCCCAGCUAGGGUGGGGGCUCCAGGAGACUGAGAUUAGCCUGCCCUCUUUGGACAGCAGCUCCAGGACAGGGCGGGUGGGCUGACCACCCAAACCCCAUCUGGGCCCAGGCCCCAUGCCCCGAGGAGGGGUGGUCUGAAGCCCACC